GGAGAGAGCAGAGGAGGAAUCGGAGAAAACAAGCGGUGAUUAAUUAAUAGAAAAAGCAGUGAAAAAGUCGAUAAAACUGUCGAAAAACAUAACUUGCCUGGUCGGGAACUGACGGGGAUUUUAUGAGAACUAAGCCACAUUGGUUUUGGUCAGGUUUUUUUGCUCGGUUGGAAACUCGGUCGGAGUGAGGAUUGGUCUGCCAUGUGCGGGCGUGCACAUCUACAGACGGGAUUCAAGAUGGCGAGCCAGACCCAGACCUUCAACUCAUCUUCUUCAUCGCGUCAUUGAGGAAAUCCUCUGCGUGUGGUAACUCACUGCCAGAGUGGUAGGAGUAUCAGGAACUAGUUUGAACUGAACUGAACAGAACUGAGAACUGAUUGAACUAUUAUUUUUUGGACUGAGUCGAACUGAAACUUUUCAUUGAACUGAACACUUGAAUUCACAUUUGGACUUGAACUUAAAUUUAAAGUGUCAUACUUUUAUUUGCAUAUGUUUAUAUUUUUGAAUGUGAUUUGAAUAACUGUGGUCAACUUUGAUUUACUUGGGUUUUGUAGGUAAUUUCUUGCCUGUAAAAGAAAGAAAGAGUUAACUCUGGAAGAAAAAUAGGAAUCCAAAAUAGGUACAACCUAGGAAAAAGAGACUGAUCUAAUUAAAUUAGAUUAGCUGUACUAAAAUAAACUAGGUGAACUAAAGAACAAAAGGAAGAGUGAAAUACUUUUUUUUUCCCCAUUUCCCUUGUUAUUGGGAACCUGCAGGGUAUUUUUGGGUUUAUGUACUGUGUUUUAUAUUUGUGUUUCACAUUCAGUAAAUUGCCGGCCUUUUCUGCUUAAAGCAACGGUCUCUGGUGUAAUUUUUCUUGCUCCCCACUCCUUAGAACCUAGAACUGGUCCAGUGGCGCAGUUAGUGGUGUGAUACCGGUGCUACAUUAGGCUCCUGAAAAUUAUUUUCAACAUCUAAAUACAGUCUUUUGUCACCUUUGAAUCAGUGAUUGAGGUUUGACAGUUCAGUAAAAUUUGCUGUGUCCCAACUAUUAUAAUCUGAUAGAAAACAUUUUACUGUUUAGAUUUGUCAACAAAGUGAUGUGGAUUAAUUUGUAGGACCACAUAAACUGUUAUAGUUAGACAUACUUAUAUUCCUAUCAAAUGUUGAACUUACACGCUGUUAACAUGUUGUCUUCAUGUGUAAAUUUUAAAACAUAUGGCUUUUAAUUGCCUCAUCAAACGUCCAAACACAUGAUUUAAAAUGAACACUAAAGCAUGAAAAUGAUGAUAAUUCAACACAUAUUGGGUUCAUUGCAUUGACAGAAUGUCUUAAAGAGCCGUUACAACAUCUCUGUUGGACUUAAUGUCAAGUUUGUGUUUGUGGCGGUGGGCGUGCAGAGCUCAGCUGCAGGAGAGAGAGGUGUCGAGGAGGGCGUGUGGAAGCAGCGUCAGGUUAAUUGACGCAGGUGUUAUCGAUCAGACUCACCUGAUUCUCUCUGCAGUAGCAGGCUGGAGCAGAGGACAAAAGGCACACGGACAGAGAGGACGAGAGAGGAGACGUACGGGUGGAGGACAGUGGACAGGACGAGGUCUGGUGUAGCGGCAGGCAGAAGCUGAGACUGUUUGCUGGACGAGAUCUGGCGGAGAACCGGGCAGAGAUUGGAGAUUGUUUACCGGACGAGGUCCGGUGUAGCGCCGGGCAAAAGAAGAAACUGUUUAAUUACAUUGGUGAUGGUGCGGUGAAUAAAAACUCUGGCUGUAUCGCCAGACUGCCUUGGUUAUUGUGCUGAGUGGACCCACAGACAGGUCAUCUGUUACAGUGUUGUUUUCCCAUCUUUACUGUAGUUGGACCUUGGAUGGGUGACAGAUUAUUGGAAACAAGAGAUAUCAUCAGAUGAGAUCAAAUAAAUGAUGUAUCUGAUGGUAGAUAGUAGCUGCUUCAACAUGUGGGUCAGUUUGUGUCAAGUCAGAAAGAAUGAAGGAAAUUUGUCUCUUUGCCAUCUCUGAUUUUGAUCAAAGUGAUUUAUUUUGUCUCUUUUCCAAUUAGAACAACUUUAAGGCAUUGGUUUCUGUAGAAAUAUGACUUGGUGAGGACACAGACAAAAUUAUUUCUUUCUACUUCUGCAGAGGUCGUAUUUUUAAUUGUUGGACUUUGACAAUAGAAAUAAGUGCAAAACAUUCAAAGGAGAGUAAUAUUGGUGCUCCAGAAAGUUCAUGUUAGAGUGUAAUUAUAAAUGUCUCCAUAUGUCCUACUCGGGGUCUGUUGUCAACUUUGCAUCAACUUUUGAGGUCUCUAAGAUCAGUAGAAUUCCAUGUGUGGCAACUAAUACAAGCCAGCAUUUGAGUUCUUUGCUGUGUUGACAUGUACAAAUGGUAAAUUAAAUUAUUUGUCAGAUCAAAUAAUCUGGUGUGCAGAGAGCUACAUAUAUUGAUAGUAUGUUUACAAAUUUAGAUGUUACUUCCAUGUUGUUUCCUUGUUAAAAUUUAACAACACAUGAGGCUGAUGUUGACACACAUAUAGUUUAAUCAGAAUACUGAAUAAAAAACUGAUAAUUCAACACAAAUCAGAUUAAUCAUUCCUCAAAGCAUUCAUGUUCCAUUUAACACAAAGAUAAAAUACAAUGUCUGAUCUCUACUGCUUGAUUUCUCUGUUGUCUUUGUCAUCAGUCCAACAAGUCACAAAUCAGAGCUUUAACAGAGUGUGUCUCCCUCUAGUGGAUGUUGUGGAGUUUUCUGUUGUCUUUGCUCCAAAGGUUUUUGUACAGAGUUUUACUGUUUCCUGUCACUGUGGGCCUCAGAGCACAGUAGUACACAGCAGAGUCUGACAGAUGAAGCUUCUGGAUCUUCAGAGGAACUGAUGUCUUGCUGA